GGGGAUAUGGCGAAAUUGGUAGACGCUACGGACUUAAAAUCCGUCGACUUUAAAAAUCGUGAG
rnacentral:tRNA from 1 species